rnacentral:rRNA from 1 species
AGAACGAACGCUGGCGGCAUGCCUAAUACAUGCAAGUCGAACGAACACUUCGGUGUUAGUGGCGCACGGGUGCGUAACGCGUGGGAAUCUGCCCUUGGGUUCGGAAUAACAGUUGGAAACGACUGCUAAUACCGGAUGAUAUCGAAAGAUACAAAGAUUUAUCGCCCAGGGAUGAGCCCGCGUAGGAUUAGCUAGUUGGUGAGGU